CAAUAGCGUAUAUUAAAGUUGUUGCAGUUAAAAAGCUCGUAGUUGAACUUCUGGCGAGCGCGCCGGUCUUCCAAGUGUUGUACUGGGUGCAGUCCGCCAUCCUUGUGGAGAGGGCUCGCAUUGAGUUGCGUGUCGGAUCUGCAUCAUUUACUGUGAAAAAAUUAGAGUGUUUAAAGCAGGCUGUCGCUUGAAUACAUUAGCAUGGAAUAAUAAGAUAGGACUUCGGUCUAUUUUGUUGGUUGCGAACCGAGGUAAUGAUUAAUAGGGAUAGUUGGGGGUAUUCAUAUUUAAUUGUCAGAGGUGAAAUUCUUGGAUUUAUGAAAGAUGAACAACUGCGAAAGCAUUUACCAAGGAUGUUUUCAUUAA
rnacentral:rRNA from 1 species